rnacentral:rRNA from 1 species
GUGCCAGCCGCCGCGGUAAUACGGAGGGUGCAAGCGUUAAUCGGAAUUACUGGGCGUAAAGCGCGCGUAGGCGGCUUGUUAAGUCGGAUGUGAAAUCCCCGAGCUCAACUUGGGAACUGCAUCCGAUACUGGCUAGCUAGAGUGUGGUAGAGGGAAGUGGAAUUCCAGGUGUAGCGGUGAAAUGCGUAGAUAUCUGGAGGAACAUCAGUGGCGAAGGCGGCUUCCUGGACCAACACUGACGCUGAGGCGCGAAAGCGUGGGGAGCAAACAGGAUUAGAUACCCUCGUAGUCC